UUUACUUAAAACAACCAAGCGUGGUCGUUCUGCCAUUCCGUUCCAUUCUUCCUCUCCUCUCUCAACCCUACCCUCUCCUCUCUCAACCGCCGCAACGAUGACGACGCCGCGCGCCUCCAUUUUCAGCCCCUCCGCGUCUGUAAUUCCAGACCACGAUUCAGUCGAGAAUGAGAAGGAUUUUGCUUCACCGUUAAAGAAAUUCAAAGUUGACAAGGAUUUAGUAGGAGAAGAGCACACCACUGAUUCCGAAGCUGCUGCCAAUGAACUUAUCUCCUUGGAGGCUUUCAAAAUCUGGUGCAAAGUGUAUGGAAAAGAAUACCGUGACGAGAAGGAGAAACAAUCGAGGUUCCAAAAUUUCAAGAGGUCUCUUGAGACCGAGACCCCCUUCAUCCCAGGUGCUCUGACUUUUCCGAGUUUGGCUGAUCAAACCGAAAAGAAUUUCAGGAGUUUUGUGAAAAACAUGACCUGCAGAAAUAUGACCAGCCGAUGAAUAAUAGUAUAUCCAUCAAACACAUCAUAUAUCUCAGAAACAAGUAUCUAAUCUCAGAAGUUGAGAAUGAGAAGGAAGAUUUAGUAGGAGAAGAAGACAACACUCCCGUUCCAAUGUCACUAGGUUCCGAAGCUGCUGCUGCCAAGGAACUUGACUUCUUCGAGGCUUUCAAAAUCUGGUGCAAAGUGUAUGGAAAAGAAUACGCUGACGAGAAGGAGAAACAAUCGAGGUUCCAAAUUUUCAAGAGGUCUCUUGAGACCGAGACCCCCUUCAUCCCAGGUGCUCUGACUUUUCCGAGUUUGGCUGAUCAAACCGAAAAAGAAUUUCAGGAGUUUUGUGAAAAACAUGACCUGCAGAAAUAUGACCAGCCGAUGAAUAAUAGUAUAUCCAUCAAACACAUCAUAUAUCUCAGAAACAAGUAUCUAAUCUCAGAAGACAACACUCCCUUUCCAACCCAUCUCUAUUGAUCCUGAAGUUCAAUUCGUUGAAGAAAGCUCUUUUGAGGACCACCCGCAAGUCGUGCUAGGAGUUUUUCGGGUUUGGCUGAUCGAACUGGAAAAGAAUUUAAUGAGUUUAGAGAAUUUCAUGCGUGUUGAGAUUAUGUCUAAGUAGCUGUUUGAAUUUCAAUUUUAAGUUGUAAGUUUGACCCUUUUUAAUUAAGGUUGAAUAAGUCCUUUUAAUGUGAAUCCAGCUGACACCCCAGAGCACAAAUGGAUCACCCUUUUUAGCUUGCCUCACUUAGUGUGAUAAGAAGACUUUUGUGGUUGUUCUUAAUAGUCAUCGAACAAGUUAUGAUUUUAAUUUUAUUUUACAUGUUGUGAGACCA